UGGGGAAUAUUGCACAAUGGGCGAAAGCCUGAUGCAGCGACGCCGCGUGAGGGAUGACGGCCUUCGGGUUGUAAACCUCUUUCGACAGGGACGAAGCGCAAGUGACGGUACCUGUAGCAGAAGCACCGGCCAACUACGUGCCAGCAGCCGCGGUAAUACGUAGGGUGCGAGCGUUGUCCGGAAUUACUGGGCGUAAAGAGCUUGUAGGCGGCUUGUCGCGUCGAUCGUGAAAACUCACAGCUCAACUGUGAGCUUGCGGUCGAUACGGGCAGGCUUGAGUACUGCAGGGGAGACUGGAAUUCUUGGUGUAGCGGUGAAAUGCGCAGAUAUCAGGAGGAACACCGGUGGCGAAGGCGGGUCUCUGGGCAGUAACUGACGCUGAGAAGCGAAAGCGUGGGUAGCGAA
rnacentral:rRNA from 1 species